rnacentral:rRNA from 1 species
AACGAACGCUGGCGGCAUGCCUAACACAUGCAAGUCGAACGAGACCUUCGGGUCUAGUGGCGCACUGGUGCGUAACGCGUGGGAACCUGCCCUUAGGUUCGGAAUAACUCCCAGAAAGGGGUGCUAAUACCGGAUAAUGGCUUCGGACCAAAGAUUUAUCGCCUUUGGAUGGGCCCGCGUUGGAUUAGCUAGUUGGUAGGGUAAAAGCCUACCAAGGCGACGAUCCAUAGCUGGUCUGAGAGGAUGAUCAGCCACACUGGGACUGAGACACGGCCCAGACUCGUACGGGAGGCAGCAGUGGAGAAUAUUGGACAAUGGGCGAAAGCCUGAUCCAGCAAUGCCGCGUGAGUGAUGAAGGCCUUAGGGUUGUAAAGCUCUUUUACCCGGGAUGAUAAUGACAGUACCGGGAGAAUAAGCUCCGGCUAACUCCGUG